CUGUGGUGCUGGGAACUCUGGACGUGGGUGAUGUUCCUGUUGUCGUAGUUGUAGUUGUGGUUGUAGUUGUUGGUGUAGAUGAAGGUGUAGUUCCUGGGUGCGGUGUUGUUGGUUCAGUUAUAACCUCUGUGGUAGUUGUUGCUUUGGUAGUUGUUCCAGGUGUAGUUGUUUGUUCAAUUUCAGGUGUUGUAGUUGUAGUUGUUGUUGUUGUAGAUGAAGGUGUAGGUUCUGGAUAAGGUGUUGUUGGUUCAGUUAUAACCUCUGUGGUAGUUGUUGCUUUGGUAGUUGUUCCAGGUGUAGUUGUUUGUUCAAUUUCAGGUGUUGUAGUUUUUGUUGUAGAUGAAGGUGUAGGUUCUGGAUAAGGUGUUGUUGGUUCAGUUAUAACCUCUGUGGUAGUUGUUGCUUUGGUAGUUGUUCCAGGUGUAGUUGUUUGUUCAAUUUCAGGUGUGGUAGUUUUUGUUGUAGAUGAAGGUGUAGGUUCUGGAUAAGGUGUUGUUGGUUCAGUUAUAACCUCUGUGGUAGUUGUUGCUUUGGUAGUUGUUCCAGGUGUAGUUGUUUGUUCAAUUUCAGGUGUUGUAGUUUUUGUUGUAGAUGAAGGUGUAGGUUCUGGAUGAGGUGUUGUUGGUUCAGUUAUAACCUCUGUGGUAGUUGUUGCUUUGGUAGUUGUUCCAGGUGUAGUUGUUUGUUCAAUUUCAGGUGUUGUAG